AAUGAGAGUUUGAUCCUGGCUCAGGACGAACGCUGGCGGCGUGCCUAAUACAUGCAAGUAGAACGCUGAGGUUUGGUGUUUACACUAGACUGAUGAGUUGCGAACGGGUGAGUAACGCGUAGGUAACCUGCCUCAUAGCGGGGGAUAACUAUUGGAAACGAUAGCUAAUACCGCAUAAGAGUAAUUAACACAUGUUAGUUAUUUAAAAGGAGCAAUUGCUUCACUGUGAGAUGGACCUGCGUUGUAUUAGCUAGUUGGUGAGGUAAAGGCUCACCAAGGCGACGAUACAUAGCCGACCUGAGAGGGUGAUCGGCCACACUGGGACUGAGACACGGCCAGACUCCUACGGGAGGCAGCAGUAGGGAAUCUUCGGCAAUGGACGGAAGUCUGACCGAGCAACGCCGCGUGAGUGAAGAAGGUUUUCGGAUCGUAAAGCUCUGUUGUUAGAGAAGAACGUUGGUAGGAGUGGAAAAUCUACCAAGUGACGGUAACUAACCAGAAAGGGACGGCUAACUACGUGCCAGCAGCCGCGGUAAUACGUAGGUCCCGAGCGUUGUCCGGAUUUAUUGGGCGUAAAGCGAGCGCAGGCGGUUCUUUAAGUCUGAAGUUAAAGGCAGUGGCUUAACCAUUGUACGCUUUGGAAACUGGAGGACUUGAGUGCAGAAGGGGAGAGUGGAAUUCCAUGUGU
rnacentral:rRNA from 1 species